rnacentral:rRNA from 1 species
UUGGCGGCCUUUUUAUUAAUCAGAGGAACUCGAAUCUUCAUCCGAUAAUCCUCGUUAAUUCUCUCUAAAAUUCAGUAUUUAUAUCGCCGUCCUCAGAUGAAAAUUGAAAUUUUCAUUUAUAAGAAUUCUCCUUUUAUGUCAGGUCGAGAUAAAGCCUAUAUAUUAGCGAAACGAGUUACAUAUUUUUUUUAAUAAAAUUAUAUCAUCAAAAGAUUAUAAGAUUUAGAAUUUGAUAAUAAUUUUUAAGUAAUUUUUUAUUAUGAAAUUAUCAAAAAGGUGUACAUAUCGCCCGUCACCCUCGUCUAAAGAUGAGGUAAGUCGUAACAAAGUUAAUAUACUGGAAAGUGUAUUAAGGG